GACGAACGCUGGCGGCGUGCCUAAUACAUGCAAGUCGAACGCAGUGGGGACGGGUGAGUACCACGUGGGUAACCUCCCAUCAGAGGGGAUAACACUUGGCAACAGGUGCUAAACCGAUACUGAUGGAUGGACCCGCUGUGCAUUAGCUAGUUGGUGAGGUAACGGCUCACCAAGGCCACGAUGCAUAGCAGAGCUGAGAGGGUGAUCGGCAACACGGGGACUGAGACACGGACCAGACUCCUACGGGAGGCAGCAGUAGGGAAUCGUGGGCAAUGGAAGAAAGUCUGAAGGAGCAACGACGCGUGAGUGAAGAAGGUUUUCGGAUCGUAAAGCUCUGUUGUGAGAGAAGCGGUAUCUAACCAGAAAGCCACGGCUAACUACGUGCCAGCAGCCGCGGUAAUAG
rnacentral:rRNA from 1 species